rnacentral:misc_RNA from 1 species
GUUUUUGUGUUGCAUGUGGCAUUCAGGCAGGGAUUGGUGGUCCAACCUGCAUAAUCUUCCAGGUUGUUUUCUGAUAUUAUUGAUGGUUGAAUCAUCUGUCAGAUACUUUCCUGGAAAGCCAAAUUGAAUUCUUUUGCUUUUUAUUUCUUUCUCCACCUCCUUCAAAUAUCAUAGAUUAAACUAGGUAGUGUAUCAUCCUUCUCAUUGGACUGAGGAAACAUUGAUAAUUUUUACCAGUAGGAAGAACUGAAGUACUUGUAUCCUGUUUGUGCAACUACAAAGGAAAAGCUAAAGAAAACAAAAUGGAUAAAGUAAUCACAAGUGGUGGGAAGAUGA